UUAGAAAUGUCAAAGCUGUCAGCUUGCAUGUCGGUGCUUCGGUUUUUUGCCAAUCAUCGCAGAUUUUCCGCAAAUCUCACAGUUUUUACAAUAAAACAAAGUCAAUUGUUUAUUAACGUGAAUAAUUCAAUUGCAGCUUCUUUCACAGGAAAUAUAUUGUGCGCUCGCGCAUCGUCCUCGACGCCGUGGAACAUGAGCUUUGCCUACCCGGAGGUGCGACGCGAUGAGACCGUGGUCGACGACUAUCAUGGAACUAAGAUAGUAGACCCCUACCGAUGGCUCGAAGAUCCAGACUCGGAGGAAACAAAGGCUUUCAUAGAAGCCGAGAACAAAAUAACGCGGCCGUUCCUGGACUCGUGCCCAGUGAAGAAGGACAUAAACGAGCGGCUGACAGAACUAUGGAACUAUCCAAAGUAUUCCUGCCCCUUCAGAAGAGGGGACAGAUACUUCUUCUUCAAAAACAGCGGUCUACAAAAUCAAAACGUCCUCUACGUGCAAGACAGUCUGGACGGGGAACCGCGCGUGUUCCUGGACCCAAACAAGUUAUCUGAAGACGGUACGGUGGCGCUCUCCGGGAGCCGUUUCACGGAGGAUGGCAAUACGUUCGCGUACGGGCUAUCUGCCAGCGGCUCGGAUUGGAUCACCAUACACAUGAAGGAUGUGGCCACUGGUGAAGAUUAUCCAGAAGUAUUAAAGAAAGUCAAAUUCGCAUCUAUGUCGUGGACCAAAGACAACAAAGGAUUGUUUUAUUCACGUUACCCAGAACAAACGGGCAAAACUGACGGUUCAGAGACGGAAGUGAAUCGUGAUCAAAAACUCUGUUACCACCGUCUCAACACGCCUCAAGAUCAAGAUGUCAUCGUCGUGGAAUUCCCUGAGGAGCCACUAUGGAGGAUUGGCGCGGAAGUGAGCGACUGCGGGCGCUACCUGCUGGUGUCGCCGGUGCGCGACUGCCGCGACAACCUGCUGUACUUCGCGGACCUCGCCAAGCACCCGGAGAUCAACGACAAGCUACCCCUUACGCAGAUUGUGCACAAAUUCGAGGCCGACUAUGAGUACAUCACAAACGAAGGCUCCGUGUGCAUAUUCCGCACGAACAAGAACGCGCCUAAUUAUAGAUUAAUCAAGAUCGAUUUGAACAAUCCUGCCGAGGAAAAUUGGGAGACGCUUAUCCCUGAACACCCUACUGACGUACUGGAUUGGGCAUCUGCUGUGGAUCACGACAAACUAGUCUUACAUUAUGUUCGUGAUGUUAAGAGUGUACUCCAACUGCACAGUAUGGCGAACGGAGAGCUGAUACAAGAAUUCGGCCUGGACGUGGGUUCCAUAGUGUCGUUCUCGGGCAAGAAGGAGCAGAGCGAGAUCUUUUACCACUUUAUGUCUUUCCUGACGCCCGGCAUCAUCUACCAUGUUGACUUUAAGAAGAAACCGUACACUCCAACAGUGUUUAGAGAAGUAACAGUAAAGGGCUUUGACCCAACACAAUAUGAGGCUAAACAAAUUUUCUACUCAAGCAAAGAUGGCACCAAAGUUCCUAUGUUCAUAGUGCACAAAAAGGGUAUCGCGCUAGACGGCAACAACCCAGCGCUAGUGUACGGCUACGGCGGGUUCAACAUCAACGUGCAGCCGAGCUUCAGUGUCACGCGGCUCGUGUUCAUGCAGCACAUGGGCGGCGUGCUGGCCAUACCGAACAUACGGGGCGGCGGAGAGUACGGCGAGCGCUGGCACAACGCGGGGCGGCUGCUGAACAAGCAGAACGUGUUCGACGACUUCCAGGCGGCGGCCGAGGAGCUGCACCGGCGCGGCUACAGCCGGCCCGCGCUCACCACGGCGCAGGGCGGCUCCAACGGCGGCCUGCUCGUGGCCGCCUGCAUCAACCAGCGGCCCGACCUCUACGGCGCCGCGGUCGUGCAGGUCGGUGUUCUCGACAUGUUGCGGUUCCAGAAGUUCACAAUCGGCCACGCGUGGGUAUCAGACUACGGUAGUUCAGAUAACAAGACGCACUUUGAGAAUUUGCUCAAGUAUUCACCGCUGCACAAUAUUCAGCCACCGGACAAUGUGAGCCGCGCGGAGUACCCCGCGACGCUGGUGCUGACGGCGGACCACGACGACCGCGUGGUGCCGCUGCACUCGCUGAAGUACAUCGCGGCGCUGCAGCACGCGGCCCGCGCCGCGCCGCAGCGCCGCCCGCUGCUCGCGCGCGUCGACACCAAGGCGGGCCACGGCGGCGGCAAGCCCACCGCCAAGAUCGUGAGUGUACCGCACUGUAAACACUGAAGUACAUCGCGGCGCUGCAGCACGCGGCCCGCGCCGCGCCGCAGCGCCGCCCGCUGCUCGCGCGCGUCGACACCAAGGCGGGCCACGGCGGCGGCAAGCCCACCGCCAAGAUCGUGAGUGUACCGCACUGUAAACACUGAAGUACAUCGCGGCGCUGCAGCACGCGGCCCGCGCCGCGCCGCAGCGCCGCCCGCUGCUCGCGCGCGUCGACACCAAGGCGGGCCACGGCGGCGGCAAGCCCACCGCCAAGAUCGUGAGUGUACCGCACUGUAAACACUGAAGUACAUCGCGGCGCUGCAGCACGCGGCCCGCGCCGCGCCGCAGCGCCGCCCGCUGCUCGCGCGCGUCGACACCAAGGCGGGCCACGGCGGCGGCAAGCCCACCGCCAAGAUCGUGAGUGUACCGCACUGUAAACACUGAAGUACAUCGCGGCGCUGCAGCACGCGGCCCGCGCCGCGCCGCAGCGCCGCCCGCUGCUCGCGCGCGUCGACACCAAGGCGGGCCACGGCGGCGGCAAGCCCACCGCCAAGAUCAUUGAAGAACACACGGAUAUCCUGUGCUUCAUGACACAGGCGCUCGGCCUCAAGUUCGAGAAGUGAGAGACACUGCCAUAUUUGAAAACAAAGUAUUAAGAGUACCACGAGAUGCAAUAGUAUUAUGUAAAUAAAGUGAACACAAACACAUCUGUUGAUUACCUCGGGUCUUGAUUGAUGAGACUGGUGAUAUUUGUUACGCAUUGCUAUUUUUUUAUUAAAUAAACUUUGUUUUUAUUA